rnacentral:rRNA from 1 species
CCUACGGGGGGCAGCAGUGAGGAAUAUUGGUCAAUGGACGAGAGUCUGAACCAGCCAAGUAGCGUGAAGGAUGACUGCCCUAUGGGUUGUAAACUGCUUUUGUACAAGGGUAAACCUGAAUACGUGUAUUCAGCUGAAAGUACUGUACGAAUAAGGAUCGGCUAACUCCGUGCCAGCAGCCGCGGUAAUACGGAGGAUCCAAGCGUUAUCCGGAUUUAUUGGGUUUAAAGGGUGCGUAGGCGGAUUGAUAAGUUAGAGGUGAAAUGUCCGAGCUUAACUCGGGAACUGCCUCUAAUACUGUUGAUCGAGAGAGUAGAUGCGGUAGGCGGAAUGUAUGGUGUAGCGGUGAAAUGCUUAGAGAUCAUACAGAACACCGAUUGCGAAGGCAGCUUACCAAUCUAUAUCUGACGUUGAGGCACGAAAGCGUGGGGAGCAAACAGGAUUAGAUACCCCUGUAGUC